UAUUCUGACUGUGCUAAGGUAGCAUAAUCAUUAGUCUUUUAAUUGGAGGCUGGUAUGAAUGACGAGACGAGAAAAUGACUGUCUCUAUAAUAAACUUUGAAUUUCAUUUCUGAGUGAAAAAGCUCAGAUAAUUUUGAAGGACGAUCAGACCCUUUGGAGCUUUAUUUACUUUAAAAAUUUGAAUUUGUUUUAAUUGAUUGAAUGGAAAGUAAAUUUUGUUGGGGCGACAGGGAGUAAAAUAUAACACUCUUUUUUUAAAACAAUCCUAAUUGGAAAAUUGAUCCUUAGAGUGAGAUUACAAGACUAAGUUACCCUAGGGAUAACAGCGUAAUCUUUUUGGAAAGUUCAAAUCGAUAAAAAGGUUUGCAACCUCAAGGUUGGAUUAAAAAAUUGGCAAGGGGCAAAAGUUUUGCUGGAAAGUCGGUUCAACUUUUAAUCUCUUACGUGAUCUGAGUUUCAAACCGGA
rnacentral:rRNA from 1 species